UACGUAGGGUGCGAGCGUUGUCCGGAAUUAUUGGGCGUAAAGGGCUCGUAGGCGGUCUGUCGCGUCGGGAGUGAAAACUCAGGGCUUAACCCUGAGCCUGCUUCCGAUACGGGCAGACUAGAGGUAUGCAGGGGAGAACGGAAUUCCUGGUGUAGCGGUGAAAUGCGUAGAGAUCAGGAAGAACAUCCGUGGCGCAAGCGCCUAUCUGGCCAUGACCUGACGCUGAGGCACGAAAGCGUGGGGAGCGAACCGG
rnacentral:rRNA from 1 species